GAUGAAGAACGUAGCGAAAUGCGAUAAGUAGUGUGAAUUGCAGAAUUCAGUGAAUCAUCGAAUCUUUGAACGCACAUUGCGCCCCUUGGUAUUCCAUGGGGCAUGCCUGUUCGAGCGUCAUUUGUACCUUCAAGCUUUGCUUGGUGUUGGGUGUUUGUCCCGAGGGACUCGCCUUAAAGUAAUUGGCAGCCAGUGUUUGGUUUUGAAGCGCAGCACAAGUCGCGAUUCAAGGCUACACGCCCGCUUCCACAAACCUUUUUUCACUUUUGACCUCGGAUCAGGUAGGGAUACUCGCUGAACUUAAGCAUAUCAAUAGGCGGAGGA
rnacentral:misc_RNA from 1 species